UCGACCGUCCUGCUGGAUAUCAGGCGCGCGGAAAGCGCCGCCCGAGGAUACCUCCUCACGUCGCAACCUAAAUUUCUGACAGAGCACGAGGCUGCAAUCCAACGCAUCUUGNNNNNNGUCGACACGCUCGCAAGACAGACCAGCGACAGCCCAGUUCAGAUCGAGAACAGCAAGCAACUCCGCGAGUCCGCCGAAUUCGCCAAAGCUGUCGACUACGUGAAAAGGGACGAUAUACCCGGCGGCGUCGCAAUGUUGCGCGACGGCAGUAGCACAA
rnacentral:misc_RNA from 1 species